UACGUAGGGGGCUAGCGUUGUCCGGAUUUACUGGGCGUAAAGGGCGCGUAGGCGGCCACCGCAAGUCGACUGUGAAAUCUCCGGGCUUAACCCGGAAAGGUCAGCCGAUACUGCGGGGCUAGAGUGCAGAAGGGGCAACUGGAAUUCUCGGUGUAGCGGUGAAAUGCGUAGAUAUCGAGAGGAACACCUGCGGCGAAGGCGGGUUGCUGGGCUGACACUGACGCUGAGGCGCGAAAGCGUGGGGAGCAAACCGG
rnacentral:rRNA from 1 species